CAACCUGGGGAACCUGCUCAGUACAUAACAGACCUUGCUUGGCAUACUGAGUGCCUAUGAAAUAUCACUAGAGGAAAUAGAAAAUGGCUUUCCUGUCAGUUUUAAGAUCCUGCUGUAAAGAAAAUGAGAAUUGAAAACAAAUAUAAGAAGAAAAGAUAAAUAGAUUUAACAGAGAAGAGAAAACUUAGAAAAAUAUAACUGGAUGGACAUGAUUUUGUAAAAGCGAGAAAGUAUGAUUGUAGUACGAUGGAGAAAAUGGCAGAGAGGAUUACAGCCGUCUUUGUGUCUUCACCCGUGAGACAUUUCCCUAGCAGACACAUGGAGAAUGCAUUGCAAUUUUUCAAUCCAGAAGUUACCAAAGCAUAUUUGAUUAUGCAUAUUAAGACUACUGGUCCGUGAAAGGUUGUAACCAGAGCACAAAAUGGAUGAGAAAGUGGAAGAGAGAAUAAACAAUAAUAAUCAAGAGGCUGCUCAGGAAAACACUGAUCUACUCAUGUAUUUUGGCGUCAUAUCGUCACCGCUACCGGCUCGGGGAAACCGGGCCAAACCGGGAGGAACCCACCACUGCUCUACCUCCCACCAUCAGUGACUCAACAACCAAUCCCAGAGGAAGCGUAGAACCAUUGUAACAUCAUAUAUUACACUUUGAAUCCCUGGAGAAAGUUUAGAAGGAUACUGCAAUCAAUGGUGUUGAAGGUUUCUCAUAGAUCAAAGAAGAAUAGGUGGUCAUAUUUCACCCAUUCUGGUCUCAUCACAGGUAAUCAACAAGAGUGAUCGGUGUGAUCAUGGUAUAACAGCUUGACUAAGAAAGUUUCACAGAGUCCUUUCUUCUGAGAUCUUCCACACCACAACCACUUUCUCAACAAGCUUAAUUAAAAAUGACAACUUAGAAA